rnacentral:rRNA from 1 species
GCUAAACGCGAAGAACCUUACCUGGCCUUGACAUGUCCGGAAUUCUGCAGAGAUGCGGAAGUGCCUUCGGGAAUCGGAACACAGGUGCUGCAUGGCUGUCGUCAGCUCGUGUCGUGAGAUGUUGGGUUAAGUCCCGCAACGAGCGCAACCCUUGUCCUUAGUUGCCAGCGAGUAAUGUCGGGAACUCUAAGGAGACUGCCGGUGACAAACCGGAGGAAGGUGGGGAUGACGUCAAGUCCUCAUGGCCCUUACGGCCAGGGCUACACACGUACUACAAUGGUCGGUACAGAGGGUUGCCAGACCGCAAGGUGGAGCCAAUCCCAGAAAGCCGAUCCCAGUCCGGAUCGGAGUCUGCAACUCGACUCCGUGAAGCCGGAAUCGCUAGUAAUCGCGGAUCAGCUAUGCCGCGGUGAAUACGUUCCCGGGUC